CAGUCGCCGCGGUAAUACGUAGGGUGCAAGCGUUAAUCGGAAUUACUGGGCGUAAAGCGUGCGCAGGCGGUUUGUUAAGGCAGAUGUGAAAUCCCCGGGCUCAACCUGGGAACUGCAUUUGUGACUGGCAAGCUAGAGUGUGGCAGAGGGGGGUGGAAUUCCGCGUGUAGCAGUGAAAUGCGUAGAUAUGCGGAGGAACACCGAUGGCGAAGGCAGCCCCCUGGGCCAACACUGACGCUCAUGCACGAAAGCGUGGGGAGCAAACAGGAUUAGAUACCCCAGUAGUCCCUGUCUCUUAUAC
rnacentral:rRNA from 1 species